AAAGACAAAAAACUUUUUUUUCGUUGCAUGUCCCUAAGGCUCACCUCCACCGCCCCUUCCUUCACAGAGAUCACGUGAGCCCCUUCCCCCGGCCAGGGCCUUCCUCCCACUCCUCUGUGUGCCAGAGCACUUUCUCCUGACCUGCUUUUGGGAACGUACAUCCUCUGAACUGUGUCACAUCUUUCUUCAGAAUUUAAUAGCCUUCAAAUGCCUCCAGAACCUAGAGAAUUCAUCUCUCCACUUCCCUUAAAUGAAUAAAAGUGCUUUUUUUUCAGAGAAUGAGAGCUCUUCUUCUCUCCUGACUGUGUGCCUGGAGAGCAAGCUGGCGUAAGUCUGUCCAGCGCUCUGGGCACCAUGUGACCCUGCCUCCGCCCUCUGGGUGGGGUGCCUGGCCUCCUCCACCUCCUGGGGACCCUCCUGGAGAAACUUCAGAGCAGAGUGCAGUUCUGUUCUGAAUGUCCACCUCAAAGUUGUGUUCUUUUGUAGAUGAGACAGGUGCUGUGCUGCUGAGCUAAAUCCCCAGCCCCUAGACUACAAAUUUAUGGAAUGAUUGUGCUCAACUCGAAGAGGAUUCUUCAGAGACUUCAAGCAUCUUCCAGCUUCUUGGACUGAGCAGCUGUUGGAUCCUCCAGUGUGCACCGGCCAUCGUAGACUCUCCCACCUCUGAUCCCAGAAGCUGACCCUGUGGCAGAAAAUGUCCCUCCCCCCAGCAAGUAUACUUCAGUUUCUUAGUUGCCCAGGUAACAGUUCCUGUCUCUUAGAAACAGCUGGUCACUGUGAUGCAUACUGUAAGAACCAGUCCCCAACUGACAAGCCAUUGUGCCUCUGUAUAAGCCCUAGACCCCCAGAGAUCAGGGCCUGAUAUUCUGGGCAUGAUCCCGGUCAGUGCCUGUCCAUGUGAAUAAAUCUGCCUCCAGA